UGUUUUUUCAGUGUUUCAACCAUUUGAUAGGCUAGAUAACCUUCAGGUCAAAUUGUUAUAAAAAUAAUCCUUAGUAUAUAAUGCCAUGCUCUAUCAAGUGCACGAGAUCCUAGUUCUACUGAUAAAGCCACCAGUGUAACGCGUUCAUCCCGCCAAGAAAGUUGAGUUUUGCCCGAAGCAACGAUGCAGCCACUCUCGCUUCUCUGCUGUGUUUAAAUUUGCUACAUAGCUACCAAUUUUGACACAAAUGCGCUUCCAACUAACAAUGAAAGUCACAUUAGUGAAGAAGAGAAUGAGUUUGUGCAGAAGUUUGAUGCAAUAAUUCCUGAAAUCGGCCAAACCGCGGAACUUCAUCGCCAGAAAAGAGGCGUCUGUUAUAAUGAGAUCUGCAAUCUCGGCUGUAUCGCUCUGGGACACAAGAGUGGAACAUGCGAUGGCGAUGUGUGCAUGUGUUCUGAUUGAUUUUUUUUGGUUCAUGAGAUGAAAAGAUAAAAUUAACAUAGGCAUCAAAAAUUGUUCUAUCGACAGAAUUAUUCUCUAUCUUGAAAUACAUUUGAAUUUUGUGACCGUGUAAAAUUUUGAAAGUCCUUCAGAUGGACUGAAUAAUUAUGUUCAAAUAAAUAUACAAGAAACAAAUAACAAACCAGAAACAAAUAAGAAUUGUUUUGAUUCAAUUUUAACCCUAACGACCUACGAAUCAAAACGACAUCAUGUAAUCGUCCUUCAAACUAUCAUCAUUUAUUUUCACUCUACGAAGUAUAAAACUAUUACUUCUCCUGAUAAUCGACAUCAGUCCAAAGUAAUCAACAGCUCGGGUAAGGUCGGAGCCUGGUUUGCCACCGAAUCCACAUCGAAAAUGCAGCCAACCACAGUUUUCUGUUUUGUCCUAAUUUGCUCCAUCGGAGCGAUUUACUGCACCAAUAGUUUGCCCCAGAAGGACGACUUUGAAACUGUUGACAGAGUUGAAGUUGAUGAAUUGGAUCUAACCCACGGCACAGACCAUCGUGUGGAUCGCUUUUCGGAGCAGCAACGCCAUCGAAGGGCGACCUGUAACUUUGCCGAGUGCGACGCUUUUUGCCGUCGAAGACAAUUUCGUGGUGUCUGUGUUCAAAACAAGUGUAAAUGCACUUAAAAACAGGAUUGUUUGAAAGUAAAAUGAUUAAUUUGAAUGGACAGUUUCGAUUAAGCUAUUGUUUUUUUUUCAUUCGGAGUAAAUAAAUAAUUCACUCAAAAUUUGCGUAACAAGAGACAACAAGCAGAGCCAAUUAAAAAAAUGUGGGCAUAAUGCUAUAAAGAAUUUAAUUUGAUAAAUAUAAAAAUUAACUACAAAAA